rnacentral:tRNA from 1 species
UCCCUAGUGGCUCAGAUGGUAAAGAAUCUGCUUGCAAUGCAGGAGACCCGGGUUCAACCCCUGGGUCGGGAA